GAUGAACGCUGGCGGCGUGCCUAAUACAUGCCAGUCGAGCGAACAGACGAGGAGCUUGCUCCUUCGACGUUAGCGGCGGACGGGUGAGUAACACGUAGGUAACCUACCUAUAAGACUGGGAUAACUUCGGGAAACCGGAGCUAAUACCGGAUAAUAUUUCGAACCGCAUGGUUCGAUAGUGAAAGAUGGCUUUGCUAUCACUUAUAGAUGGACCUGCGCCGUAUUAGCUAGUUGGUAAGGUAACGGCUUACCAAGGCAACGAUACGUAGCCGACCUGAGAGGGUGAUCGGCCACACUGGAACUGAGACACGGUCCAGACUCCUACGGGAGGCAGCAGUAGGGAAUCUUCCGCAAUGGGCGAAAGCCUGACGGAGCAACGCCGCGUGAGUGAUGAAGGUCUUCGGAUCGUAAAACUCUGUUAUUAGGGAAGAACAAACGUGCAAGUAACUGUGCACGUCUUGACGGUACCUAAUCAGAAAGCCACGGCUAACUACGUG
rnacentral:rRNA from 1 species